rnacentral:rRNA from 1 species
GCGGCCGUAACUAUAACGGUCCUAAGGUAGCGAAAUUCCUUGUCGGGUAAGUUCCGACCUGCACGAAUGGCGUAAUGAUGGCCAGGCUGUCUCCACCCGAGACUCAGUGAAAUUGAACUCGCUGUGAAGAUGCAGUGUACCCGCGGCAAGACGGAAAGACCCCGUGAACCUUUACUAUAGCUUGACACUGAACAUUGAGCCUUGAUGUGUAGGAUAGGUGGGAGGCUUUGAAGUGGGGACGCCAGUCUGCAUGGAGCCGACCUUGAAAUACCACCCUUUAAUGUUUGAUGUUCUAACGUUGACCCGUAAUCCGGGUUGCGGACAGUGUCUGGUGGGUAGUUUGACUGGGGCGGUCUCCUCCUAAAGAGUAACGGAGGAGCACGAAGGUUGGCUAAUCCUGGUCGGACAUCAGGAGGUUAGUGCAAUGGCAUAAGCCAGCUUGACUGCGAGCGUGACGGCGCGAGCAGGUGCGAAAGCAGGUCAUAGUGAUCCGGUGGUUCUGAAUGGAAGGGCCAUCGCUCAACGGAUAAAAGGUACUCCGGGGAUAACAGGCUGAUACCGCCCAAGAGUUCAUAUCGACGGCGGUGUUUGGCACCUCGAUGUCGGCUCAUCACAUCCUGGGGCUGAAGUAGGUCCCAAGGGUAUGGCUGUUCGCCAUUUAAAGUGGUACGCGAGCUGGGUUUAGAACGUCGUGAGACAGUUCGGUCCCUAUCUGCCGUGGGCGCUGGAGAACUGAGGGGGGCUGCUCCUAGUACGAGAGGACCGGAGUGGACGCAUCACUGGUGUUCGGGUUGUCAUGCCAAUGGCACUGCCCGGUAGCUAAAUGCGGAAGAGAUAAGUGCUGAAAGCAUCUAAGCACGAAACUUGCCCCGAGAUGAGUUCUCCCUGACCCUUUAAGGGUCCUGAAGGAACGUUGAAGACGACGACGUUGAUAGGCCGGGUGUGUAAGCGCAGCGAUGCGUUGAGCUAACCGGUACUAAUGAACCGUGAGGCUUAACCUUACAACGCCGAAG